CUACAUUAGAUACCCGCGUAGUCCUAGCCGUAAACGAUACUCGCUAGGUGUCGGCCACGGUGCGACCGUUGUCGGUGCCGUAGGGAAGCCGUGGAGCGAGCCACCUGGGAAGUACGGCCGCAAGGCUGAAACUUAAAGGAAUUGGCGGGGGAGCACCACAACGGGUGGAGCUUGCGGUUUAAUUGGAUUCAACGCCGGAAAUCUUACCGGGACCGACAGCAACAUGAAGGCCAGGCUGAAGACUUUGCCGGAUUAGCUG
rnacentral:rRNA from 1 species